GCCGCGGUGAAUACGUUCCCAGGCCUUGUACACACCGCCCGUCACACCAUGGGAGUUGGAUUCACCCGAAGGCGUUGCGCCAACCCGCAAGGGAAGCAGGCGACCACGGUGGGUUCAGCGACUGGGGUGAAGUCGUAACAAGGUAGCCGUAGGGGAACCUGCGGCUGGAUCACCUCCUUUCUAAGG
rnacentral:rRNA from 1 species